UCUGAGAGUGUGGAUGUCCAGCCUGCCCUACACUGAUGAGCAUAAGGUAUUAUUAAGGUUCUGGUCCAUCCUAGGAUCCUAGGAGUUAUAGGUCUCACAGGAGCCACUGUGAACUUGUCCACUGCAUGCCCCGGGCCCAGAGGAGGGAGGACACAAUUAACCUUAGCUCUAAUUAGCUAAUUAUCGCGACCUUUUAAUUACAUUCUUUGAAUGAUUCAUCUUUUCUUUCUUUAUAACCUCUACAUAUUGGACACAAGAGCUAGAGCCUUUUCUCCUACUGGAGGUACCCCUAUGGCCAAGUUGUCAGGACCUGAAGAUCCCUGUGAGAAGCAUCCCAGGCACUCUGAUCUUGUCUCUGUGAGAAGCACUCUUGAUCCUGGAGACAGGAUCCCUAUGAGGAGCACCCCAGGCACUCCUGUCUCCAAGAUCCCUAUGAGAAGCACCCCAGGCACUCCUGUCUCUGUGAUAAAGCUGCAACAUGGAAUUGUUUAGUUCAGAGUGUCUCCAACAUGAAGAACAUCAAUGACACUAACAGUCUCAGCUUCUAGCACCCCUUUAUUUGUAUGGUUUGCUCAUAGAUAGUAGAGGGGAGGGAUUGGAAACAUCUCAGGUGACCAAUGUAUUGCCCUAGAGAAUUCUGACACCAUGCGUGUUGCAUUCCGCAAGUAUUGAUUGCGAUUGAUUGCGAGCCAGAUGCAAAGACAAAAGAGAAGAAAGUGAAGAAAACUGCAGGGUACUCAGAAAAUCAGAAAAUCUGCCAAGACCCUUUUGUAUGCCAACGGCAGAGGGGAGGGACACAUGAUAACCCCACUGUUAUGUAUUAUGAUUAGUAAAUUCUUUUGCAAGAGCUAAACAGUGACCGAUGACGAGAAUACACCAUUGCCUAAAAGGGCGUCAGGCUCAUAAAAAUUAUGUUUUGUGUUUGUAAACAUUUUUAUGUAAACAUCAAAAUUGUGUGAUUGUGUGAAAGUCAUAAUGUUAUGAAGCAGUGAACAGUGCCUAGUAC